rnacentral:rRNA from 1 species
CCUACGGGCGGCAGCAGUGGGGAAUAUUGGACAAUGGGGGCAACCCUGAUCCAGCCAUGCCGCGUGUGUGAAGAAGGCCCUCGGGUUGUAAAGCACUUUCAGUGAGGAAGAACGCCUGGUGGUUAAUAUCCAUCAGGAAAGACAUCACUCACAGAAGAAGCACCGGCUAACUCCGUGCCAGCAGCCGCGGUAAUACGGAGGGUGCGAGCGUUAAUCGGAAUUACUGGGCGUAAAGCGCGCGUAGGUGGCUUGAUAAGCCGGUUGUGAAAGCCCCGGGCUCAACCUGGGAACGGCAUCCGGAACUGUCAAGCUAGAGUGCAGGAGAGGAAGGUAGAAUUCCCGGUGUAGCGGUGAAAUGCGUAGAGAUCGGGAGGAAUACCAGUGGCGAAGGCGGCCUUCUGGACUGACACUGACACUGAGGUGCGAAAGCGUGGGUAGCAAACAGGAUUAGAUACCCGAGUAGUC